UACGUAGGGCGCAAGCGUUAUCCGGAAUUAUUGGGCGUAAAGAGCUCGUAGGCGGUUUGUCGCGUCUGCCGUGAAAGUCCGGGGCUCAACUCCGGAUCUGCGGUGGGUACGGGCAGACUAGAGUGAUGUAGGGGAGACUGGAAUUCCUGGUGUAGCGGUGAAAUGCGCAGAUAUCAGGAGGAACACCGAUGGCGAAGGCAGGUCUCUGGGCAUUAACUGACGCUGAGGAGCGAAAGCAUGGGGAGCGAACAGGAUUAGAAACCCCCGUAGUCC
rnacentral:rRNA from 1 species